rnacentral:rRNA from 1 species
AAUCUACCUCCGAGUGGGGAAUAACCAAGAGAAAUCUUGGCUAAUACCGCAUAACACGUACGAGUCAAAGCAGCAAUGCGCUUGGAGAGGAGUUCGCGGCAGAUUAGUUAGUUGGCGGGGUAAUGGCCCACCAAGACGAUGAUCUGUAUCCGGCCUGAGAGGGCGCACGGACACACUGGAACUGAAACACGGUCCAGACUCCUACGGGAGGCAGCAGUGGGGAAUUUUGCGCAAUGGGGGAAACCCUGACGCAGCAACGCCGCGUGGAG